CCUCCCUUCCCUGAAGUGUCACAGAUGACUUCCAUGAGCGGUUUGAUUGGUAGAAAGGAUCUGACAUCUGCCACUAGCCUGAAGCUCUCCCUUUCCUCCGUUUGCUUUUUACAGGGCUGCUGGGAACAAGUUUGGACUUGAGUGAACAAGAAGGUGUGAGACCCUCAGCAAAGUCGACUGAGCACUAUUUCAGACAGCCCGGCCCCACACCCAUCGGUGAAGUCUGUGGCAGUGACCGGAGGAGAGAGUAGAGCUGGGAAGCUGUUCGCUGGGCCCGAGGAAGCCCGUCCUGACAUCUGGGAGCCCUGCCCUACUCACCAGGCUGCACAGGAUGGGCAGGAAGAUGGUGAUGGUGGCUGGGUUGCUCACGAACUCUGUGACAAUGGACACCAGGAUGCAUGCCAACAGGGUGACAGCCCACGGUGGGAGGCCACUCAGAGACAACAUCUGGUGCCCAAUCCACGUGGAGAGGCCAGAGCUCUGCAGGGAGAUGGGUGAUACAGUAAGAAGAGAGGAGGAAGAGCACAUUCCCCCUGGAAUUCUUAGACUCCAGAAGGUCAGGGAUGUUGGGGGGCUGGCAGGAAACACUAGGAGUCAUCUAAUCUGCCUUCCUACUUUCAGGCAGACUGGAUCCAGAGGCAUUCCUGACUUGAUGAUGAGGUGGUUUUUACAGCCUAGAAAAUUCCUUACGAUCGUGUAACAUUCAGUCUCGGGGUUUUCUGGACAAUCAUCACAGCGCAUGGAGAGCUGCCCGUCCUAAUGGCUAUGAUUCUUGCCGGGAUUAUGCAGGGGCUGGAGAUCUUCGGGACCACAGGCCUCUCAGCUUCAAUCUCCUCACUCUCUCCAGCCUCUGACAUUCUCACUGUGUGCAUCCAGUCAACGGUGAUUCUGACACAGACUCCCCAGUAUAAUCCUUAAUUCUGCUUUUGAAAUCUAGCUCUCUUAUCACCGGUAAAAGGGGGAAAAUUAUCAACAUCCUUGGACAGUAACUUUUCCUGUAGUUUGUGGGGAGUCAGUGGGCAGGGCUGAACACCAGAAGCUUUGCAUACACGGAUUCCCAGUCUAUCCGCUCUCAGUGGGAAGGUGCCACCUGGCUGGCCUACAAAGCUAGUCAUGGUGGUCCAUCCUGUGUCAGGUUCAGUCUCAUCACGGCUGACGUUGGGAUCUGCAAUCCACCAGUGCUUUCUCACAACAUAAGAUAAGAAGGCAUGUUGCUGCUCUUGAACCUUUUCCAUUAGCAAAAUUUAUAUAGAUCUACUCAAAUAAAUGAGUUAUUUCCCACUUGGACUAACUUCUGUGGUUGGAUGCUGUUCCUUUGCCAGUGGUGAAGAUUCCUUCCCUCCCUUAGAAAAUAAAGGACACCGCUGACUUUUUGUACUAAAAA